rnacentral:rRNA from 1 species
AACGCUGGCGGCGUGCCUAAUACAUGCAAGUCGAACGGUCUUUCUAUGGAAGCUUGCUUCCACUGAGAAGAUAGUGGCGAGCGGGUGAGUAACACGUGGGUAACCUGCCCAUAAGAGGGGGAUAACAUCCGGAAACGGGUGCUAAUACCGCAUAGUUUUCUUGAUUGCAUGAUUGAGAAAGGAAAGACGGCCUUUGCGCUGUCGCUUAUGGAUGGACCCGCGGCGUAUUAGUUAGUUGGUGAGGUAACGGCUCACCAAGACGAUGAUACGUAGCCGACCUGAGAGGGUGAUCGGCCACAUUGGGACUGAGACACGGCCCAAACUCCUACGGGAGGCAGCAGUAGGGAAUCUUCCGCAAUGGACGAAAGUCUGACGGAGCAACGCCGCGUGAGUGAAGAAAGGUUUUCGGAUCGUAAAACUCUGUUGUCAGAGAAGAACAAGUUGGAGAGUAACUGCUCCAGCCUUGACGGUAUCUGACCAGAAAGCCACGGCUAACUACGUGCCAGCAGCCGC